UCCGGUUGAUCCUGCCGGAGGUUACUGCUAUCGAGAUUCGACUAAGCCAUGCGAGUUGAAUGUUCUUCGUGAACAUGGCGGACUGCUCAGUAACACGUGGACAACCUACCCUUGGGUCCGGCAUAAUCCUGGGAAACUGGGAAUAAUUCCGGAUAGGUCACCGAUGCUGGAAUGCGCGGUGGCCGAAAGCUCCGGCGCCCGAGGAUGGGUCUGCGGCCUAUCAGGGUUGUAGUGGGUGUAACGUACCUACUAGCCUACGACGGGUACGGGUUGUGAGAGCAAGAGCCCGGAGAUGGAUUCUGAGACACGAAUCCAGGCCCUACGGGGUGCAGCAGGCGCGAAAACUUUACAAUGCGGGAAACCGUGAUAAGGGGAUCUCGAGUGCCAACAUAUAAUGUUGGCUGUCCAGAUGCCUAAAAAGCAUCUGUUAGCAAG
rnacentral:rRNA from 1 species